GGCUUCGUAGCGCAGUUGGUUAGAGUGUUGGCUAUACUAAAGCCUUCUCCUUGCUGGUGUGGGUUCCAAUCCCACCGAGGCUG
rnacentral:tRNA from 1 species